AAUGUCUUCAGUGAACAACAAAAACAAAGGAAUUUGCCUUACCGUUCCAAUACUUUUGGAGGGGACUGUAUUUACAACUUUUAGGAUACGCUGCUGUGAGGAAAUUGCGGUAAACAAACUAGACUGGACUCUGCUCAGUCCUAUUUUUGAUGCCGUCACACAGAAGUCUUGGGUUUGGAAAAGCUUUUCAAGCCUCUUCUUGACUGCACCAUGCUGAUUUUUCUUUGGAAGUUCAUUGUUUUUCAUUUCCUCAUCAUCUCCUGCUGUUUACUUACUUAUGUGAAUCCUGAGGACAAUCCGGGUAUACCAGCAAUCGCCAAAUAUUUCAACACAAAAGGGAGGUAUGAGGAAGUGAACCCGUAUCUCAGAGAGGACAUACUUGCUGUAAAUAGAUCUAUUUUGCAGCCUCCAUCUGCACAAUGUCAAGAAAUUCAUCUGACUGUGAUAAUAAGACACGGCACAAGGUACCCGACGACCAAAAACAUCAAAGGGAUGCAGCAGCUCUACAACAUCGUCCUGCACAAUGCCUCAGGCGAAGAGAGCUGGCUGCGUGAGAUCCAGACCCAGUGGAGGAUGUGGUACACCGAGGACAUGGAUGGCCGACUCGUCCAAAAAGGUGUGAACGAUCUCAAGCAUCUGGCCAUCAGGCUUUCAAAGCUGUUCCCCUCGCUGAUUUCGGAGGAGAAGCUCCGAGGUGGUUUCUUCAAAUUCAUAACCAGCUCAAAGCACAGGUGUGUCAACAGCACACUGUCCUUCAAGGCAGGACUGACAGAGCUGUGGGCUAUUACAGAUAUGGAGUUUGACUACGCAGUGAAUGAUGCUCUCAUGAGGUUUUUUGACCAGUGCACCAGGUUUGUGCAGGAAGUUGAUAACAACCCCUCAGCUCUGUCUGAAGUCGACAAGUUCAAACAGGGGCCAGAGAUGAGGAGGGUCCAAGAGAAGAUCGCAGACCGUCUCAGAGUGCCGUACAGUCUCAUCACACAUGAUAUGACUCAGGCUGCAUUUUACUUGUGUGCUUAUGAAUUUGCAAUCAAGGCGGCGAACUCCCCCUGGUGUCAGCUCUUUGAUGAGGAGGGUGCAAAGGUUAUGGAGUAUGCAAGUGACCUGAGGGAAUUCUGGAAAAGAGGCUAUGGUUAUGAUAUUAACAGCAAGUCGAGCUGCGCUCUCUUCCAUGAUGUGUUUAGUCGACUGGACAAGGCAGCCAGCGAAAUCAACUCAGGCCAGCAGGUGACUGAAGCCGUGACAGUCCAGGUUGGCCAUGCAGACACCCUCCUGCCGCUGCUUACCCUCCUGGGCUUCUUCAAGGACAACGUUACCCUGACUUCCACCAACUACGCCACACAGGCCAAACGCUCCUUCCGCACCAGCCACAUGUUACCCUAUGCAGCCAACUUACUCCUGGUGCUAUACGACUGCGGGGGAGGCGACCUGAGGCUGCAGCCGCUGCUCAACGAGAAGCCUGUGACUUUCCCCGGUUUAACUGACCAGCGGGCUUCCAUACCGCUCUAUCAAGACGUCAGAGGGCACUACAGUGAUCUACUCAAAGGCUGUGACUUUGAGACUGAGUGUCAGCUGUUCAAGCAUCCUGCUGAAGUUUAGACAGACAGGGCAGAUUCUGGAGAUGGUUCUGGAGUCAUAGCAGCUUGGUUCUCCUUUAUUAGCAGAAGCUACGAGACAGGUCCUGCAACAUCGACUCCCUUGAAGAGAAAAACUUUGCAAGUCCCAGCUCCAGCAUUGUCUAGCAUUGGUGCUUCUAGUGGAACAGACCGAGAUGAGAAUCUUGAUGUCAUUCCAGAAGCCACAGAAAUUCAGGGCCUUGAACAAAGGUAACAUGUACACAUCAUAACUUUUAGCCCUGUAUUGCU